GCCUGGGUGGCUCAGUGGUUGAGCAUCUGCCUUUGGCUCAGGGCCUGACCUGGGAUCCUGGGAUCAAGUCCCUGCAUCAGGCU
rnacentral:tRNA from 1 species